UACGGAGGGUGCGAGCGUUGUCCGGAAUCAUUGGGCGUAAAGGGCGCGUAGGUGGCCCGGUCAGUCUUUGGUGAAAGCGCGGGGCUCAACCCUGCGUCGGCCAGGGAUACUGCCGCGGCUCGAGCACUGUAGAGGCAGGCGGAAUUCCGGGUGUAGCGGUGGAAUGCGUAGAGAUCCGGAAGAACACCGGUGGCGAAGGCGGCCUGCUGGGCAGUGGCUGACGCUGAGGCGCGACAGCGUGGGGAGCAAACAGG
rnacentral:rRNA from 1 species